UACGUAGGGUGCAAGCGUUAAUCGGAAUUACUGGGCGUAAAGCGUGCGCAGGCGGUUUUGUAAGUCUGAUGUGAAAUCCCCGGGCUCAACCUGGGAAUUGCAUUGGAGACUGCAGAGCUUGAGUGCCGGAGAGGGUGGCGGAAUUCCGGGUGUAGCGGUGAAAUGCGUAGAUAUCAGGAGGAACACCGGUGGCGAAGGCGGUUCUCUGGGCAUUACCUGACGGCUGAGGAGCGAAAGUGUGGGGAGCGAACAGG
rnacentral:rRNA from 1 species